rnacentral:rRNA from 1 species
AACGAACGCUGGCGGCAUGCCUAACACAUGCAAGUCGAACGAGAUCUUCGGGUCUAGUGGCGCACGGGUGCGUAACGCGAGGGAAUCUGCCCUUUGGUACGGAAUAACAGUUGGAAACGACUGCUAAUACCGGAUGAUGACGAAAGUCCAAAGAUUUAUCGCCAGAGGAUGAGCCCGCGUAGGAUUAGCUAGUUGGUGUGGUAAAGGCGCACCAAGGCGACGAUCCUUAGCUGGUCUGAGAGGAUGAUCAGCCACACUGGGACUGAGACACGGCCCAGACUCCUACGGGAGGCAGCAGUGGGGAAUAUUGGAAAAUGGGCGAAAGCCUGAUCCAGCAAUGCCGCGUGAGUGAUGAAGGCCUUAGGGUUGUAAAGCUCUUUUACCCGGGAUGAUAAUGACAGUACCGGGAGAAUAAGCUCCGGCUAACUCCGUGCCAGCCGCCGCGGUAA